AAUAUACCAACCCUUUUCACUUUCUCUCACUCGUCGUCUUCCUCUUUCUUUUCUGGAGAGCUUCCAACAUACAUACAUACAUACAUUCAUGGGGAGCUUCCCAAACCGCGUCGUAGACGGCCGAAGCUCCACCAGUAAUGGCGGUGCUUCUGUGGUGGAUAAGGGAGUGGAUUUUGCCCAAUAUUUUUGCACCUACGCCUUCCUUUACCACCAGAAGGAGAUGCUCUCCGACCGAGUUCGCAUGGACUCUUACUUCAACGCCAUCUUUCAGAACAAGCACCACUUCCAUGAAAAGACUGUGUUGGAUGUGGGAACUGGGAGUGGCAUUCUGGCAAUCUGGUCAGCUCAAGCGGGUGCAAGGAAGGUUUAUGCCGUAGAAGCCACGAAGAUGGCAGAACAUGCUCGAGCGCUUGUGAUAGCAAAUAAUCUUCAAGAUGUGGUUGAAGUGAUUGAGGGUUCUAUAGAAGAUGUUACUCUCCCAGAGAAAGUGGAUGUAAUUAUCUCCGAGUGGAUGGGAUAUUUUCUUCUGCGUGAGUCUAUGUUUGAUUCUGUAAUAUGUGCUCGUGACCGUUGGUUGAAGCCAACUGGAGUAAUGUAUCCAAGUCAUGCUCGUAUGUGGAUAGCACCUAUCAGGUCUGGAUUGGGAGAUCAAAAAAUGAGCGAUUAUAGAUCAGCUAUGGAUGAAUGGUAUGGUUUUGUGGAUGAAACAAAAACUUAUUAUGGUGUUGAUAUGAGUGUUCUAACAAAACCGUUCUCUGAAGAGCAAAGGAAAUACUAUCUACAGACAUCAAUGUGGAACAAUCUUCAUCCACAUCAAGUUAUUGGGACUGCUGCCGUAGUAAAGGACAUUGACUGUUUAACUGCCACUGUGGAUGACAUCCUUGAAGUUCGUGGAAGUGUUUCUUCGUCAAUUACUUUAGAAAACACAAGACUCUGUGGGUUUGGGGGAUGGUUUGAUGUUCAUUUUCGGGGAAGCAAAGAUGACCCAGCUCAGCAACAAAUUGAGUUGACAACUGCUCCUAGUAUAAAUGAUAGCACACAUUGGGGUCAACAGGGGUUCCCCUUUCACCCUCCAGUUCGUGUCACUGAAGGGGACAACUUGAAUAUUUCUUUCUCAAUGAAUCGCUCAAAGGAGAAUCAUCGAUUAAUGGAGAUUGAGUUUGGCUGUGAGAUUACACAGUGUUCUGGCAACAUGGUUCCAUGUUUCAGGAAUAAAUUCUUCAUAGAGUGAAAAAAAGCUAGUCACCUAAUUUGGCUGUAACGUUGACAAAGAUUUCCAUCCUUGAAUUCAUAUGGUUAAUUGGAAAAUUGCUCGACACUGCAAACCUAAUGGUGAAAUUAUUAAAAAGUAAUUACAAGCGAAAUUAUAUGAAGUUGGAAUCGUGGCAGCUUGAUUUGUGAGUGCAUGGAUGCAGGGUCAUGUUUAUCGGUUUGUUACAGUGCCUGAUUGGAUUCUCUCAUAUGAUGAGUUCUACAAGUCAAGUUCCACAACUUCUGUGGGAAUUUUGCUGCUAUUUUGCUACUUGUAUGUACUUUAUGUUAUUUGGCCGCAAUAUGUCAACUUCAUAUUGCUGUCUUUUUUCCUAGAAUUUUUUGGUUACAUAUUGCGUAGCGGUGAAAAAUUAUAUAUAAUGACAACUGUCUGAUAAAAUACUCAAAAAUGAAAGUUAUAAAUUAUAAUGUCUGGUUGAGAAACAA